rnacentral:rRNA from 1 species
AUACGUAGGGGGCGAGCGUUGUCCGGAAUGAUUGGGCGUAAAGGGCGCGUAGGCGGCGGUGUAAGUCUGGAGUGAAAGUCCCGCAUUCAAUGUGGGAAUUGCUUUGGAUACUGCAGUGCUAGAGUGCGGAAGAGGUAAGUGGAAUUCCCAGUGUAGCGGUGAAAUGCGUAGAGAUUGGGAGGAACACCAGUGGCGAAGGCGACUUACUGGGCCGUAACUGACGCUGAGGCGCGAAAGCGUGGGGAGCGAACAGGAUUAGAUACCCUGGUAGUCCACGCGGUAAACGAUGAAUGCUAGGUGUUGCGGGUAUCGACCCCUGCAGUGCCGGAGUAAACACAAUAAGCAUUCCGCCUGGGGAGUACGGCCGCAAGGUUGAAACUCAAAUGAAUUGGCGGGG